rnacentral:rRNA from 1 species
AUGACGUUCGGGCAGGAGGCCAUAGAAAAACUAUCGCAGGAGCUCGUCGGCGGGUACGAUCUCAACGCGAGGCUCCUGGCAUUGCUGCGCCGCGGCCCCCUCGACGGACGUGGGCAGGAGGCGGCCGUCGCGAUGAGCCAGGAGCUCUCUCGGGUGUUCAUGGUGUCUCUGUUCAUGCUCAGGCCCGGUGACAGUAGCAGAAUGGCGGCGCCGGGGGCGGCGAUCACUGAGGGUGGCAUCGAUCAGCGGACUCCCACAAAUGAUAUUCCUAUCUGUGGUGGAGAAGAGGUUGCUCCUACAAGGAAGGGUAGAGGGAACGGGGUUACCGGCAAGGAGAUUACAGCCUCGCCUCAUAGUGAUGGUUACCAGUGGAGAAAAUACGGGCAAAAGAACAUUCAGAACAGAAAAUUUGCAAGGUGCUACUACAAAUGCAUGUUUAGCCAUGACCGCGGCUGCAGGGCGAAGAAGACGGUGCAGCAGCAGGAUACCAGCAGCGGCCGUCGUCCUAUGUUCCAGGUCACCUACGUGAACGAGCACAAGUGCCAACAAGAAGCAGUGCUUCCCAGAGAAUCUAUCGGUGGGAACAAGCACACGACAAGUAGCGGCCAUUUCGAUCCUCAACGCGCCAAAUUGGACGACGACGUCAUGGCCUCGUGCCUCGCCAUGGUCAUCGGCGGAGCUACACCUGCAGGUCUGUCGUCCUUGUCCUCGCCGCCGCCAGUCGUAAGAGCGAGCCCGAGUGCUCCGGCCGGCGGGCGUACGCCGAGCUUGCUUGGCGUGAGCAUGGGCCUGGAUGAGACGACGGUGGCGGAGAUCUCGUGCCGCUCGCCAUUUGCUCCCGUGAAGGCACCUGCAGCUCCGUCGUCGUCGUCGCUGCCCGUGGAAGCGAUCAACUCGAGUGAUCCGACGCCGGCCGGCGGCGGACUCCCCGGGAGCACGGAGGCUAUGGCGAUGGACGAAAUUUACUUCCCGUGCGGCCCGCCGUUUUCUCCCUUCCCGGCUCAGUCGAGCAUCCAUUCGGUCGACGUGCCCAUGGCUGUUGCCCGGUUCACGGACACCGACUCAGCGUGGCCAUACUACUCGUGA